GCCAACCUGGGGCGCCGGGCGACCGGACGCGUGGCCGCCACUACCGGGACGGUCUGGCCCCGCGGGCCUCGGACUCCCUUAUCAGGAGUCGCUUUUCGGUUGUAUGCCUUGGCGCCUUUACGCUUCCCUGGCAAUGCGAGCACGCUCCCAGCACCUCCGCACACUGGUGCACGCACGCUCAGCUUGUUUUGCACCGUGCCUACACACUUAGCGUGCUCCUGCUGUUAGGCCCCCACGCUGCACGUCAUAGCGGUGGCCCAACCUGUCCUUGCCUAGUCUCCGGCCCUGCGGCCCGCACUCCGACGCGAGCUCCCCUCCUCCCCGCCCCGCAGCCCUACUCGCGCACGGAAGUGCGUCGCAGGAGGAAAAGCACCCCCCCCCCACCCGGUGUCCUGGGAGGCGAACCCCCUGCAGUUCACGAGAAAGAAAACCUUUCACCAUAACCCUGAGAAGAAAAUAUUUUCAAGUAUUAUCUCCAUCCCACUGAUAAGAGAACUGAGCUGCAAAAAGCGUGAAUUCAGGCUCAGUAGCGUCCCGGCUUUUCUGUGGACAUAAGCUUUCAACUCAUUCGAGUAAAUACCAAGGAGCGUGAUUUCUAGAUCAUAUGGAGAGAGGCAGAGAGAGAGAGAGAGAGAGAGAGAGAGAGAGAGAGAAUCCCAAGCUGGCUCCACACAUCAGCACACAUCAGCACAAAUAUGGGUCUCAAACCCAGGAACCAUGAUAUCAUGAUCUGAGCCGAAACCAAGAGUCCAACACUUAACUGACUGACUCAUCCAGGCACCCUAUCAAAUACCUUCUUGAAAUUGACUUGCUUCUACUGUGGCCCCUGAAUAAUAACAUUUGAGGAAGUUGGAUGAAGAAUAUAUAUAGGAACUCUUAUUUUAUUUGUAACUUUACGUUCAAACUUAUUUCAAAAUUAAAAGUUAAAAAACAAAACAAUAAGAUUAGCUUGAGCUGAUGAAUUCUUAGUAAUGCUAUCUACUAGGAAUCACUCUUCUAAAGAUUUCAAAAAUG